rnacentral:rRNA from 1 species
UACAUGUGGGGCAAGCGUUGUUCGGAAUUACUGGGCGUAAAGCGUGCGCAGGCGGUUUGCUAAGACAGGUGUGAAAUCCCCGGGCUUAACCUGGGAACUGCGCUUGUAACUGGCAAGCUGGAGUGUGGCAGAGGGGGGUGGAAUUCCACGUGUAGCAGUGAAAUGCGUAGAGAUGUGGAGGAACACCGAUGGCGAAGGCAGCCCCCUGGGCUAACACUGACGCUCAUGCACGAAAGCGUGGGGAGCAAACAGG